GAUGAACGCUAGCGGCAGGCUUAAUACAUGCAAGUCAAGGGGGUAGCAAUACAACCGGCGCACGGGUGAGUAACGCGUACACAACAUACCAUAUACUGGAGUAUAGCUUUGGGAAACUGAAGGUAAUCCUCCAUAACAUUGCGAGAGGGCAUCUGAUUGCAAUUAAAGUUUCGGCGGUAUAUGAUUGGUGUGCGUUUGAUUAGCUAGUUGGUAGGGUAACGGCCUACCAAGGCGACGAUCAAUAGCUGGCGUGAGAGCGCGACCAGCCACACUGGAACUGAGACACGGUCCAGACUCCUACGGGAGGCAGCAGUAGGGAAUAAUGGACCAUGGAGGAAACUCUGAUCCAGCCAUGCCGCGUGAUAGAUGAAGGCCCUCUGGGUUGUAAAUAUCUUUUAUCUGGGAAGAAACACUCCUAUUCUUAGGAACUUGACGGUACCAGAGGAAUAAGCACCGGCUAACUCCGUGCCAGCAG
rnacentral:rRNA from 1 species